rnacentral:rRNA from 1 species
GACGAACGCUGGCGGCGUGCUUAACACAUGCAAGUCGAACGGAAAGGCCCUGCUUUUGUGGGGUGCUCGAGUGGCGAACGGGUGAGUAACACGUGAGUAACCUGCCCUUGACUUUGGGAUAACUUCAGGAAACUGGGGCUAAUACCGGAUAGGAGCUCCUGCUGCAUGGUGGGGGUUGGAAAGCUUCGGCGGUUGGGGAUGGACUCGCGGCUUAUCAGCUUGUCGGUGGGGUAGUGGCUUACCAAGGCUUUGACGGGUAGCCGGCCUGAGAGGGUGACCGGCCACAUUGGGACUGAGAUACGGCCCAGACUCCUACGGGAGGCAGCAGUGGGGAAUAUUGCACAAUGGGCGGAAGCCUGAUGCAGCAACGCCGCGUGCGGGAUGACGGCCUUCGGGUUGUAAACCGCUUUCGCCUGUGACGAAGCGUGAGUGACGGUAAUGGGUAAAGAAGCACCGGCUAACUACGUG